GCAGGUAUGGUGAAAUUGGUAUACACAGAAGACUUAAAAUCUUCCGCUUAAUUGCAUGUCGGUUCGAGUCCGAUUACCUGUACCA
rnacentral:tRNA from 1 species